UAGGUCCAAAAGCAGCUGAGUGAAUGGCGCGAGGGCAAAGGUCAAUCCCAUCCCAGAGCGCCCGAUUGAAUACGCUGUUGCCAACUUCUUUCGGAAGUACAGCGCCGUGACCACUGAGAAGGACUGGUAGAGUAGUGCGAAACCCAUUCCUACAUGGAGCAAAGACAGUUAGACAGAGGCUGGCACACAGUCGAUCACCAGGCUGAGGAAGCGCUCUUGCUCACCUACUAUCACUCCCAUGCUGAUGUAGAGGAAAACCACGCUGUUGGCGAAAAUACUCAUGAGAAAGCCUCCACUAACCAGCACUGCCCCAGUAAUGGCGGUCACCCUGGUUCCUACCUUGGCACAAGCCACAGAGGCAAUGGGUGCUGAGAGGUGACAGGAGAGGAAGCAUGAAGACACGCCCACUAUUGUUCCACUGCUCCAAAAUGGGAGUUAGAAGAAAUGAUUGAUCUUGUGCACAUUGGAUACCAUCUAAACUUUGAUCAAAAAAAAAAAAAAAAAAGUUUUUCACUCAAACCUCCAGAUAGACGCAAACUCGACAUUAUGGAACCGAUCCAGCUGAUGCUCUCUGCCGAACCGCCAAAGUCAUCUUGGAAUGCCACAAAGAAGAUCCCAAAGGUCUUGAGUGUCCCCAUCACCAAGACAUUAACCUUAAUAAUGUGGGCCAUACCAGGAAACAAUGCAACACCACCAGCCAGCCCCAGCCGCCAUCCGGUGGGUCUUCAUACUGGAUCUGAUUUUCUUUGUCCUUCUUAGUGGACAUAUCGCCCUGCGUGGAUGCCAUUCAUCUACUGGAGGAACAAUGAAACAACCAAUGAAUGUGGGACCUCAAUGAAAUCUGAACGCAGAUUUUCUCUACCACGGAGGAGUUCAAAGUCGGGAGCCAGGGUGGACAACUCAUCUGUGCAUCAGUUGGGGACGUCUCUGCGCUGCUGACUUGUCUCCAUUCAAGAUGAUCCCCUGCUGACCCCACAUCUGCGGUCCCCUCCAAUGUUUCUCAUUGAAUCCCAUUGGUUUGAGUUUUUUCUGGCCCUGAUGUGGGGUUUGAGCCCAGGAUGUCGUUGUGGCUUGUGCAGCCCUU